UCCCAAGUGGCUCAACGGUAAAGAAUCUGCCUACCAAGCAGGAGACCCAGGUUCGAUCCUUGGGUUGGAAA
rnacentral:tRNA from 1 species